UCAGUAUUGGCUCAGAUGGUAAAGAAUCUGCCUUCAAUGCAGGAGAUCCAGGUUCAAUCCCUGGGUUGGGAA
rfam:TPA: Bos taurus chromosome 7, whole genome shotgun sequence.